CUCAACAUGUUUCAUGGAGCUCGUACGUCUCUUGAGAGUCCUCAGUGCCCUGCGGGGCUAGCAGGGUCCGUGCCCAGCUGACACAGGUGCCACGGUGCCAACACAGCCCCGUGCGUGGCCUUUGUGCCGCACACAGCUGCAGGGCGUGGUGAACGACCUGCAGCCCGGCAGGGAUGUGGCAGGGCCCCGCAGGGAGUGAGCAGGGCCCGGCAGGGAGUGCGCAGGGCCCCGCAGGGAGUGUGCAGGGCCCGGCAGGGAGUGUGCAGGGCCCCGCACGGCUGGCUCAGACCCCGCAGAGCCCGCACGGAGCUCGGUGAACAGCCCACUCCCGCCUCCCCACGUGGCCCCGUUUCGUCUCCCGCCGCUGUCGGGGCCGGCUCGGUGGCGGCCCCGGAGCUGCAGAGGCGGGCACGGGUCAGAAUCGCAGGGCGCUCAGCGGCCGUGGCCUCGCCUAUCUGAUCGACUCAUCCCGCCCGGCCCAGCCGCACAGCGCCCGGGGGCUUCGCGGCGCUUUCUUCUCACCUCGGCCCGGCGGGGCCCGGCCGAUCGAAUAAGAUCAACGUGUAGGGAGGGAGGGAGGGAGGCGCCUCACACACACCGACAUCACUCACUCACUCACUCACUCACUCACUCACUCACUCACUCACUCACUCACUCACUCACUCACUCACUCACUCACUCACUCACUCACUCACUCACUCACUCACU